rnacentral:rRNA from 1 species
CCGCGACCCCAGGUCAGGCGGGACUACCCGU